rnacentral:rRNA from 1 species
UACGGAGGGUGCGAGCGUUGUCCGGAAUCACUGGGCGUAAAGGGCGCGUAGGUGGCUACUCAAGCGCGCGGUGAAAGCCCGGGGCUCAACCCCGGGUCGGCCGUGCGGACUGGGAGGCUCGAGCACUGUAGGGGCGGGUGGAAUUCCGGGUGUAGCGGUGGAAUGCGUAGAGAUCCGGAAGAACACCGGUGGCGAAGGCGGCCCGCUGGGCAGGAAGGCUCGCAAGAGCCGGCUGACGCUGAGGCGCGACAGCGUGGGGAGCAAACAGG